UACGAAGGGGGCUAGCGUUGCUCGGAAUCACUGGGCGUAAAGGGUGCGUAGGCGGGUCUUAAGUCAGGGGUGAAAUCCUGGAGCUCAACUCCAGAACUGCCUUUGAUACUGGAGAGCUUGAGUCCGGAAGAGGUGAGUGGAACUCCGAGUGUAGAGGUGAAAUUCGUAGAUAUUCGGAAGAACACCAGUGGCGAAGGCGGCUCACUGAUCCGGUACUGACGCUGAUGUGCGAAAGCGUGGGGAGCAAACAGG
rnacentral:rRNA from 1 species